rnacentral:lncRNA from 1 species
AUGAUGUGGAUGAAUGUUGAAUGAUCCUUUAGUCCCCAUAUGUUAUGAUGAUGAUGAUACGGCACGGAAGACCAGUGAGGCCCAUUCUACGCCCCUGGCACCAUGUAAGAGAAAGACCAGUGAGGCCCAUUCUACGCCCCUGGCACAGUUGGUCCAUGCUAUGUUAUGUUAUGUAAGAGAAAGACCAGUGAGGCCCAUUCUACGCCCCUGGCACAGUUGGACCAUGUAGGGGGCUAUUGGUGACAAAUUCAUCCUU